rnacentral:lncRNA from 1 species
GAAGACCAGCGAUUUAACCUGUUAUAUGAUUCUACUACCUGAUUUAGUUCUGAGAGCCGUGGUUUAAUGGUAUCACCGCAGUUUCAGCGCGGUGGAUACCCAGGGUAUUUAGAAUGCAUUUACGCACGUGCUGGGAUGCCGAGCUUAUUUUUACAGCAGAGUCUAGGUUAUUUCGGGUUGUCGGGUGCCGUCGGGGUUGACGGUGGACCCAAAUUCCUAUUUUUAGUCUCAGAUUGUGCCGAGGGCACGUGGGUUUGGUUUCUAGACCUGAUUUUACCCUACCUAUUUGACUUUGGCUUGUUAGAGCCUAAUUGAGCUCGACAGAGAUACGCUGCAUACUCAGUUGGGUAGCUCCCAUGAGUGCUACUUUGGAGAUGGGCGCUGUGCUUUUGCGUUGGUGUCGUUCGUGCAGGUUUGACUUGCUCUCCACGGACUGGUUAGUAUGGAGGUAGCUGUAUAGUCGCAACCGGGCGGGACGGGUGCGUUCAUAGUCCCAGGGACGGGUAUGAUUACAGUCUUUAUUUGAGAUUGGGUAUGAGUUGACAUUGUUCUACAGAGGGUUAGAGUUAGAGCAUGAUAGUAUAGCGAUAUUUAGAUAUAGAUUUAUUCCAGCUUUCUUUACUAUUCCUGCUUAUCCCUGUAGAUUUAGUGGGUAGACUGAUGAGUUCGAGGGCUGUACCCACUGAUGACCACUUCUUUUUGUAGUAGUUCUCACGCCCAGUUGUUACCCUAUUUUUGUAGAGCCUUCUGUUCUGGCUGCUACUUCUACAGAGACUGAUCGCGGCAAGG